GUACACGCUGUGACUAGCAUAUCAAUAAGCGGAGGAAAAGAAACUAACAAGGAUUCCCUCAGUAACGGCGAGUGAAGCGGGAAGAGCUCAAAUUUGAAAUCUUGAAAGGUCACCUUUCACGAAUUGUAGUUUAAAGAAGUGUUUUCUGUUACGAUCGUAAUAUAAGUUCUUUGGAAUAGGACAUCACAGAGGGUGAGAAUCCCGUCUAUGAUUGCGAUUUGUAGCUUUGUGAUACACUUUCAAAGAGUCGGGUUGUUUGGGAAUGCAGCCCAAAACGGGAGGUAAAUUUCAUUCUAAAGCUAAAUAUUGGCGAGAGACCGAUAGCGAACAAGUACCGUGAGGGAAAGAUGAAAAGAACUUUGAAAAGAGAGUUAAAUAGUACGCUGAAAUUGUCAAAAGGGAAGCGUUUAACACCAGUGUUGUUUUCUGAAAAUCAACCUCUGUUAGCUUUAUGCAUGUUUGUUUAGACCUAAUCAGCUAUCUUGCAUGUUCUAUUGUUUGCAGUGGUGCACUUUUCAGUUUACAGGUCAACAUCAGUUUUUUUUACCGUAAAAAAGUUAAAGAAAGGUAGCUCAUGGCUCCGGUCGUGAGUGUUAUAGUCUUUUUCCUAUGCGGUAGGAGAGACUGAGGUCUGCAGUGUAGGCUAUUUGGCUAGAUACUCAGGUGCUAUGUGAUACCAUUUCAUAAACAACUUGUUGAUUAUGUUUUGUCUAUUGCAUACUCGCUUGUACUAUCAUACCUACGCUUAGGAUGUUGAGUAGCGACAUACGCAC
rnacentral:rRNA from 1 species